rnacentral:rRNA from 1 species
GUCCCGCAACGAGCGCAACCCUUGUCUUUAAUUGCCAUCAUUUAGUUGGGCACUUUAAAGAGACUGCCGGUGUUAAGCCGGAGGAAGUGGGGAUGACGUCAAGUCCUCAUGGCCUUUAUGCCCAGGGCUACACACGUGCUACAAUGGCAGGUACAGAGGGCUGCGAAGCCGCGAGGUGGAGCGAAUCCCAGAAAACCUGUCUCAGUCCGGAUUGAAGUCUGCAACUCGACUUCAUGAAGGCGGAAUCGCUAGUAACCGCGAAUCAGCAGGUCGCGGUGAAUACGUUCCCGGGCCUU